UACGAACCGUCCAAACGUUAUUCGGAAUCACUGGGCUUAAAGGGUGCGUAGGCGGCCCGGUAAGUUGGGUGUGAAAUCCCUCGGCUCAACCGAGGAAUUGCGCCCAAAACUGUCGGGCUUGAGGAAGAUAGAGGUGAGCGGAACUUAGGGUGGAGCGGUGAAAUGCGUUGAUAUCCUAAGGAACACCGGUGGCGAAAGCGGCUCACUGGGUCUUUUCUGACGCUGAUGCACGAAAGCUAGGGUAGCGAAGAGGAUUAGAUACCCUCGUAGUCCUAGCCCUAAACGAUGAGCACUAGAUCGAGGGGCACUCCAUAGCCUCUUGGUCGAAGCGAAAGUGUUAAGUGCUCCGCCUGGGGAGUAUGGUCGCAAGGCUGAA
rnacentral:rRNA from 1 species